UCUUCUUUCCUCUCACUUUUACCUUCUUUCCCUUCCUUCUUUGCUUUCUGCAUUCUUUUUCGCUCUACCCUUCCUUAUCUCCUCGGUGCCUCCCCUCCACCUUCUCCUUCCCCUUUUCCCAUCCUUCUUCCGCUUUGCUUACACCAUAUUCUCACAGGUUGUCUCUGCCUAAUAUCUCCACAGCUCCAAUCAAAUAUUCUCACCUUGAACCACAUCAGGAAUUCUUCAUCAUUUCUGGUUUGCUGAAUUUAUUUUUUGUUCUUGCUUUCUAGGAUCUUGAUUCACUUAAUUGUAAAACAGAAAAAUCAAUUUCUGAAGUCACAUUAAGUUUUUGCAGGUUGUCCGGGCACGGUGGCUCACAUCCAUAAUCCCAGCAUUUUGGGAGGCCGAGAUCGGCAGAUCACUUGAGGUCAGGAGUUCCAGACCAGGCCGGCUAACAUGGUGAAACCCCCUCUCUCCAAAAACUACAAAAAUUAGCCAGGGGUGGUGGUGCCUUCCUGUAGACCCAGCUACUUGGGAGGCUGAGGCACAAGAAUCGCUUGAACCCAGGAGGCAGAGGUUGCAGUGAGCCAAGAUCAUGCCACUGCACUCCAGCCCAGGUGACAGAGUGAGACUCCAUCUCAAAGAAAAAAAAUAAGUUUUUGGAGGAAGGAAUAAUAUUCUUUACAAUUUUAAUACCUGGAAAUGCCUUUUUAUUUACAAUAUUUCUUUAGACUGUGAACUUCCCAUAGCAAAGAGUCUUCCAUAUUUGUUUUAAUUUACUUAAUGCCCAGCACAUGGGGUUACUCUUACGUGUUUCUGAAAUGCAUGCCAUUGUGGAUUUUGUGAAAUGAAAUGCAUGUGGUUUUUUUAACUGAUCACUCAAGUUGAUUAGACUGCCACGUCCCAUGCGAAAAAAGGGCGCUCAGAAAGCCAGUGAUUGGAUAAUAAUUUGAGAAUACUCAAGUUUCUAGUAGUCCUAGUCAGUUGAACCUAAAAAUGCCAUUAACCCUUUCUCAAAGAAGCAGAUUGGAGGUGAGUAGCAGUUGUGUGGCUUUUUUGUAUGCAGCUGUUCACUUUCAAAACUUAAUUUAAAACAAUAAAAAAUGUACCUCGAAAUCAUUUUGUUUCCCUAUUUAUUUAACGUGAUUUAUUCUAAAUGCGUUUCAUAUCACCAUAAUGUAUUGGAGCUCAACCACCACCUGUUAUUUUGUAGGGGAAAUAAACAAGACCUCUCUCAUCAGAUGAGUUAAUUACACUGACAUAUUCACUCCUCCCCAGAGAUACCAUAAACUAAAAUGCCGCAAAGCUUUAAUUCAAACAAGCAGGCUGGAAACAAGAGCUAUUGCAGUGGUAUAAUUUUCUUUGGGAGAAUCAAAAGCUCAACACAGGCUUGAACUUAGGGGGCAAGAUAGUUGGAGUUGAUCAAAUGGAGGCUUGUCUAGGGUCACAUAAUAAAUCUGUAGGUGAGUUUAGCUUGAACCCAUUUCUCAAUGUUUUGGCACUAUUUUCCAACCUUUGUGCUUCUGAGCAUCAUGUGGUCAUUUUUUAAACUGUUUCAUCCUGUUAUUUCUCCCUCCCCUCAGGUGUUUGUCUGGGGAUGGCUGUGCACCCGGAAGGCCAUUCGCUCCAUGAAGAACAUGAAGGAGGUGCUGGGGUUUCUGUAGUGGAUAAAACACAAAAAUACCAGGCCUCAUGGUGAAAAGAGAACGACAAUAAACAAGAUAAGUUAGAUCUAUGGUGUUGAGGAGGGAGGCGGGACUUUAGUCUGGAGACUGGGUUCCGUCGACUCCAGACCAAAUUGAAGACUAGCUAAAACAGGGACCCGACGGGAGCAGCUUUCCGUAAGACACCUCACCGGUCUGCCAUGUCAGUUUACCAUUGCCAUGGCAACACCCGGGAGUUACCACCCCUUUCCAUGGCAAUGACCCAAGGAUCCAAAAGUUACCACCCUUCCUCUGGAAAUUUCUGCAUCAACUGGCCCUUAAUCUACAAGUCAUUAAAAGUAAGUGUAAAUAUGGCUGCAAAACUGCCCUGAGCUGCUACUCUGGGCACACUGCCCAUGGGGUAGCCCAGCUCUACAGGAGCAGUCACGGAGCUGUAAUACUGCCCGAGCUAUAACACUGUCACUUCAAUAAAGCUGUUUUCUUCUACUCUACCACUGGCUCACCCUUGAAUUGUUUCCUGGGUGAAGCCAAGAACCCUCAUGGGCUAAACUCCAAUCUGGAGUUGCCUGUCCUGCACCAGCAUCUUAUAUUCAUAAGUUCCAUAAAGAAAAUAAGGCAGGGGAGGAGAAGUAAGUAGGGUCCAUGGUGGUGUGGGCAGUGUAAGUUGUACUUUUAAAUAGGGUGGUCAGGGCAGCAUUCUCUGCUAUACAUAAUGAUUGCUGGGAACUUUUGGGCAAAUGAGUAACUCAGAACUAAAUAAGUAGCUUAAUAAACAGUCUUUCCAUUUGUUUUUCACCAAAUACAUUUUUAGUUCAUAUGCAAUGGAAGCAGGGUCACGUAUUAUACAAUUCCAGAGAGCUCCACUCAAAACUGGGCUUGUCAACAUGGCAACCCAGGGAGUGAGUGCAUUUUAAUAUUCUUGACUUAACACAAGGUGGUACCUCCUAUGACAAGAAUGGCCAGGAUUACAAAAGUCUUAAAGAGCCCUUCUCACUUUGGUCACGUAGCAUUGCAGGUCUGCAAGUCAAAUGACAGGGCACCCUAGGAAAAGUGAUGUUUGCCAACUGAACUCUUGGAGGUAGAUUGAUAAAUCCACAAACCAAUUUAUUCAUUUACAGCAGGCGAUGUAGCCGGCACAAUAACUCAAUCAGUCUCUUUCCUGGUAUUGACUUACCUGAGGAACCAAAUUAAUUAUCAGAAGGUUGCUCUGCUAAGUAUGGAAUUAGAAAGAAAGGAAAUUGGAUGGUCUUAAGGGAUUGUUCUUACAGGCUUGGAUAAAUCCUGAUAAAUUGCCUUUAAAGAGAAAGGAAUGCACUGCUCUUUGAGAACCUGGCUCAGUUGUAACCACCUUCUCCUUGAACUCUGACGCUGACCCAAGUUUGUCAUCCAAGGCUUUUAGUUUACACUUGUUCUUAUAUUACCUCGUUUCAAAAAAAAAAUCUAAAUUGCAUUGUAAAUCAAUGAGAUUUUAAGUGUGCUGUGUUCUGACUGUGUCCAGGGAGACAUUUUAAUCUCAUGGAUAAAUGGUAAUCUUUCAUCAGAGAUAAUUUCCUCUUUUUGAUCUUUCUCUUUAUUCCUUUGUCUGUCUUGCUUUUUAGGUCCUUUUUCUUUUUUCUCAUCACCA